rnacentral:lncRNA from 1 species
CUCAGCCUGUGGACAGGAAGGAUUGCUUGAGAGUUGGCAACAGUGGAAUUAUUCCCUCCUCAGGAGACUCCUGAAUGGCUUCAUGAAAUACCAUUAUAGCUGCUGAAUGAAGGCAUGUUUGUCUUUUUGUGAUGCAGCAAGUUCUUUUAACAGCUGAGAUAGCUCUGCAGCUCCAAGGCCCACCUCUUAAUACCAUCACAUUGGCUGUUAGGAUUCAAUGCCUGAAUUUUGGAAGAGACACACCCAUAGCUAGGCAGUGACUUCAGGAGAGCCUUCAUCCAGUGGCUGAUGGAAGCAGAAGCAGAGAUCCACAGUUAAACACUGAACUGAACUCUGGAAUCCAGUUUCAGAGAGGGAGGAGUGACCAACAAAGGGAUCAAGACCACACUGGGCAAACCUGCAGAAACAGCUGACCUGAGAAAGUGGGAACUCAUGAAACCCAGUCUGACAGCUGGGGAACCAACACAGGACCAAACCAGGCUCCCUAAACAGCUUUCAUCCAGUAGCUGAUGGAAGCAGAAGCAGGAACCCACAGCUAAACACUUAGCCAUACUACUGGAAUCCAGGGAGGAGGGAUGAACAAAGCAGUCAAGACCGUGCUGGAGAAACCUACAGAACCAGCUGACCUGACCUAGUGAGAGCACACAGACCCCAGUCGUAAAGCUGGGGAACCAGCAUUAGGCUGAACCAAACCCUCUGAAUGUGGGUGCCAGUUAGGAGGCCUGGGCAGGCUAUGGUACCUCCAAGAGUGGAACCAGAGCACAAAUGAACUUUGGGAGCCCAUUCCCUAUGGAGGGGUACUAUUGCAGCCCUAUCUGCUGCAAGGAGGAGGGCCUAGGCCCUCCCUGAAAUGAUGUGACAGACUUUGAUGAUCCUCCAUGGAAGGCUUCACCGUCCU